AAGUCGGGGGAGACCGUCUCCUUCGGGAGACUAGUAAACCGGCGGACGGGUGCGUAACACGUGAGCAACGUACCUGGGAGAGGGGGAUAACCCGGGGAAACCCGGGCUAAUACCCCAUGACGUGGCGGCCACGCAUGUGGCGGCCACCAAAGGGGGCGUUCCUUCGGGAAGCUCUCACUUCCAGAUCGGCUCGCGGCCUAUCAGCUUGUUGGUGAGGUCACGGCUCACCAAGGCGAUGACGGGUAGUUGGUCUUAGCGGAUGAUCAGCCACACGGAGACUGAGACACGGCCCCGACUCCUACGGGAGGCAGCAGUGGGGAAUUUUGGACAAUGGGCGAAAGCCUGAUCCAGCGACGCCGCGUGCGGGAGGAAGCCCUUCGGGGUGUAAACCGUUGUCAGAAGGGAAGAACGGGCUCGGGCGAAUAACCUGGGCCGCUGACGGUACCUUCAGAGGAAGCGCCGGCUAACUCCGUGCCAGCAGCCGCGGUAACACGGGGGGCGCAAGCGUUGUCCGGAAUUACUGGGCGUAAAGGGGGCGCAGGCGGCUUGGUAAGUCCUAUGUGAAAGCCUACGGCUCAACCGUGGAAAGCCAU
rnacentral:rRNA from 1 species